rnacentral:rRNA from 1 species
GACGUAGGGAGCGAGCGUUGUCCGGAUUCAUUGGGCGUAAAGCGCGCGUAGGCGGUUUGGUAAGUCGGAUGUGAAAUCCCGAGGCUCAACCUCGGGACUGCAUCCGAUACUGCCCGACUAGAGGUAGGUAGGGGAGAUCGGAAUUCCUGGUGUAGCGGUGAAAUGCGCAGAUAUCAGGAGGAACACCGGUGGCGAAGGCGGCCUUCUGGACAGUGACUGACGCUGAGACGCGAAAGCGUGGGGAGCAAACAGG